GUUGGAAAGGAGGAGGACCAAAACCCUGAAUGCAAAGUUCAGGACCAGCUCAAACCCUUGGGCAAUUGAAGGGCCAGUUCUAUAUUUAACAGAUCUAAUCCUAUUCUGGUUCAAGGUCUUAACCAGGCCAUGGCCGAAUCUUCCUCAAAAUGUCACAGGGCUCACAUUCCAUGUUUAUUACAAAUAACCUUUCUCAUCAGAACAAAAAAUGAUAAUUCUUCACUACAUGGCUUCAACAACGUGCUGCCUAUAGCCUAUUGUAUGGAUAAGUUGCUUUAAUGCAUAUGCUUCAACCAAGCAAAAAAACUGAGUAUCAAUUCUCAACUAAAACAAUUCUGUAAAAAGUCAAUGCGUGUCAAUUAUCACAUGAUUUAAUCCUUACAAUGCUUCUCGUGUCAUCUCUACCUCUUUUAAACCUGACAUUCUGGCAUUUUCACGAUCCUGCCUAAAAUACUUGUAUAAUGGAGUGUAAAACAAGCAACACAAACCAAAUGGAACUGUCAUCAUUGACAGAAGCCCCUUUGACAGGGCAGAAGCCUGCUGGACAGAACCUUUAACCGGAUCGAUAGAUUUUGAAUCAUAACCAAACAUAUUUUCUGAAAGAAUUCCAACCAAGGGUGCAGCAAAAGCAGAGAGUGAUCCUUCAAAAGCACGAUCGAAUGCAUAAAUCAUAGUUCUGUGUUUUACUGGGACUACUUCGGCAAACAUUGGCGCAUUAACAGCAGGGCCAUUCCAGCUGAUAGUCAGCCCCAUCAGGAAAACUGUAACAGCAAAAGUGAAAUAACUGUUCACUGACAGAGGUAUUUCUUUAAGCAGAAACCAAGAGAAUGGAAUGCCCAUGAUGGCGCUGAAUUGUGCACACAUGAUGCGACCAGAGUGAGGGUAACUAUGUGACAUUCGAUCUGCUAUCAAUCCACCAAGGAGGGCCCCCAAUGAACAUCCAACAGCAAAGAGACUUAGGAGGAAUGCUGUGCUAUUAUGAUCAAAACCAAUUAGUUCAAACCACAUAGUGAAGAACACCAUGGCAGUCCAUGGUAGAGUACCAACAAUGCCCUGCAGAACAAUAACCUGAAAUGUUUUCACUUUCAUAACAGCUUGCAUGGCUGUCCAAGACUCUGUCCAAAUGGAAGAUACACUAGAAUUGCUCCUUUCUAACAACUCAUUCCUAUUGUAUCUUUCACGAGCAUCGCGAGGUGUAUUGAUUGUUUUCCUUGGGUCAACAACAAAUAAGAAAACAAGAAAUCCAAUUAUUGAACUCAACGUUGCCAUCAUGAUGAAAGCACAACGCCAUCCUUGGACGCCCCAAUACUGCCGGCCAGCCAUGACAGUCGCGAGCACACCACCUCCUAUACCACCCAUGUUACCAAUAAGGUUUACCAAUCCAAAUCCAGUUCCUCUUACACCAUCCAUAUAGCUAUCAGCAAUGAAAGACUGCAAUGCUGGUAUCACAAUUGCUAGUCCAAAACCAUUUACAGCUCUCCAAAAUGCAACCUGCGAAAAAUGCUGGCUUGCACCCACUGCAGCAGUUGAUAUGGCCCAGCAUAAUGUCCCCAUUGCAAGAACUGCAGGGCGAUCAUAAUUUAUAACUAGUACACCUGCCAGGGGUGAUGCCAGUCCCUGCACAAAGUUCCUUAUGAAAGUAAGAUACCCCAAAUCAGAUGGCCCUGCAUUAAAAGCUUCGCUAACUUCUUUGUAAACAGCAGGAAGGAGAUUUUCAUCAGCACGCUCCAUUAUAGCAGCCAAGUUUAUAAGAAUGAGAGAAAGAGAAAUCCCAAAAAUCUUUCUUGUUCUGUGAAUAGUAAAAUAUUCCCAAAAAAAAGAAGAAAAAGUCAAUACACGAAAUAAAACUUCAAUCAAGAGGUCAAACAAAUUAAUUGGAAAAAGAAAAUGCAUGGAGUUCGAUAUCUUUCCAGAAUAGAAAGCUUAUGCAUUCAGAAGGGAAGAAGCUACCAUAAUAUAUGUGAGCAUGACACCUUUACACACUAGAUGUUCUACAACAUAUUGACCGCCAUAUUUCCAGCCUAAGGGCAUAUUAAAUCUAAGCUGAUUUAAUUUAUAGCUCUUCUCAAUAAUAUACAUGAAUUGUAUGUCAUAGCUUAGAUCUGUAGGACCAUAACCGAGUCAAGUAUAACAUAAUUUAUGAGAUCAGAACGGUAUCCCAGAGGCAAUAGCUAAUGCACAGUUGAAACAUUUGAAGAAGCGAAUAUUAUUUCCAGUCUUCAAAACAAAUACCACAGCAUUCCUGAGUGGAUGAUUUGAUCUCAGGGUUCCUGGCAUACUCUCAGCAAUAGAAAACCAUUUAUGAGUACCCAGUCCAGCUACAAAUCCCCCUUAAAAAAGGAAAAAUGCUCCAGUACCAUUCAACAGGUGAAGUUUAAGAGGAAGGACUUGAUGAUUAUCAUCCAGCAAAAGAAAGAACUAAAAAGGAUAGAAUGCAUUCUAGAAAUUUGUUUACUAUCAGAACAUCCCACAAAAUUUUCAACAAAUGGUGCAGCGAGAAUCUUAACCUUAGCUCUCAAUGGUACUACUGUGCACAUAGGGUAUAA
rnacentral:misc_RNA from 1 species